GAUGAACGCUGGCGGCGUGCCUAAUACAUGCAAGUCGAACGCACAGCGAAAGGUGCUUGCACCUUUCAAGUAAGUGGCGAACGGGUGAGUAACACGUGGACAACCUGCCUCAAGGCUGGGGAUAACAUUUGGAAACAGAUGCUAAUACCGAAUAAAACUCAGUGUCGCAUGACACAAAGUUAAAAGGCGCUUUGGCGUCACCUAGAGAUGGAUCCGCGGUGCAUUAGUUAGUUGGUGGGGUAAAGGCCUACCAAGACAAUGAUGCAUAGCCGAGUUGAGAGACUGAUCGGCAACAUUGGGACUGAGACACGGCCCAAACUCCUACGGGAGGCUGCAGUAGUGAAUCUUCCACAAUGGGCGAAAGCCUGAUGGAGCAACGCCGCGUGUGUGAUGAAGGCUUUCGGGUCGUAAAGCACUGUUGUAUGGGAAGAACAGCUAGAAUAGGGAAUGAUUUUAGUUUGACGGUACCAUACCAGAAAGGGACGGCUAAAUACGUGCCAGCCGCCGCAGUAA
rnacentral:rRNA from 1 species